GACGAACGCUGGCGGCGUGCUUAACACAUGCAAGUCGAACGGAAAGGCUCCAGCUUGCUGGAGUACUCGAGUGGCGAACGGGUGAGUAACACGUGGGUGAUCUGCCCUGCACUUCGGGAUAAGCCUGGGAAACUGGGUCUAAUACCGGAUAGGACCGCACUUUGGUGUGUGUGGUGGAAAGGUUUUUCUGGUGUGGGAUGAGCUCGCGGCCUAUCAGUUUGUUGGUGGGGUAAUGGCCUACCAAGACGGCGACGGGUAGCCGGCCUGAGAGGGUGGACGGGCACAAUGGGACUGAGAUACGGCCCAGACUCCUACGGGAGGCAGCAGUGGGGAAUAUUGCACAAUGGGGGAAACCCUGAUGCAGCGACGCCGCGUGGGGGAUGAAGGCCUUCGGGUUGUAAACUCCUUUCGCUAGGGACGAAGCUUUUUGUGACGGUACCUGGAGAAGAAGCACCGGCUAACUACGUG
rnacentral:rRNA from 1 species